UACAGUAAAUGUGAUGUGAUGUGACAUGAUUUAGUUCUAGUGUAAAAGACUAAUACAAUACCUUUCGGCCGUGUCACACUAGAUGUCAAUAAAAUCGAUACAUUACGGAUACGCAUAUCUAUUUCAAUUCGUUGCAGUCACGCUUUCAAAAAGGGUAUAAAAUGGAAGGCCCAAGUCCGAAUGAUAUCUUCGUUUUAAAAGAAGCUACAAUCAACAUGAAACUGAUUCUGCUCACUGCUGUGCUAGCUGUCUUGGCAUCGGGCUGCUAUGCUGUUGCUAUCGAACCACAUUGGGCAGACCCAUCAGAAUCAUAAAAUUAAAUGUUGGUCCUGGUUUCUAAAAUAUAAUGUAUAUUCAAAUAUACCAAUCAUAAUGCAGCAAUUUUGAGCUGGUCAAAUUA